UACGUAGGGGGCUAGCGUUGUCCGGAAUCAUUGGGCGUAAAGCGUGCGUAGGUGGUUCGUUAAGUCUGCCGUGAAAGCCCCGGGCUCAACCUGGGAAUGGCGGUGGAUACUGGCGGACUAGAGUGCGGUAGAGGGUGGUGGAAUUCCCGGUGUAGCAGUGAAAUGCGUAGAGAUCGGGAGGAACAUCUGUGGCGAAGGCGGCCACCUGGACCAGCACUGACACUGAGGCACGAAAGCGUGGGGAGCAAACAGG
rnacentral:rRNA from 1 species